rnacentral:rRNA from 1 species
GACGAACGCUGGCGGCGUGCUUAACACAUGCAAGUCGAACGGUGAAGGGAAGCUUGCUUCCCGGAUCAGUGGCGAACGGGUGAGUAACACGUGGGCAAUCUGCCCCAGACUUUGGGAUAACUACUCGAAAGAGUAGCUAAUACCGAAUAUUCAGCCUUGCAGGCAUCUGCGAGGCUGGAAAGUUUCUCGGUCUGGGAUGGGCCCGCGGCCUAUCAGCUAGUUGGUGAGGUAAUGGCUCACCAAGGCGACGACGGGUAGCCGGCCUGAGAGGGCGACCGGCCACACUGGGACUGAGACACGGCCCAGACUCCUACGGGAGGCAGCAGUGGGGAAUAUUGCGCAAUGGGCGAAAGCCUGACGCAGCAACGCCGCGUGCGGGAUGAAGGCCU